rnacentral:rRNA from 1 species
ACUCCUACGGGAGGCAGCAGUGGGGAAUAUUGGACAAUGGGCGAAAGCCUGAUCCAGCCAUGCCGCGUGUGUGAAGAAGGCCUUCGGGUUGUAAAGCACUUUCAGUGAGGAAGAAAGCCUUGAGGUUAAUACCCUCGAGGGAGGACAUCACUCACAGAAGAAGCACCGGCUAACUCCGUGCCAGCAGCCGCGGUAAUACGGAGGGUGCGAGCGUUAAUCGGAAUUACUGGGCGUAAAGCGCGCGUAGGCGGCUUGAUAAGCCGGUUGUGAAAG